GGAGGAAAAGAAACCAACCGGGAUUGCCUCAGUAACGGCGAGUGAAGCGGCAAAAGCUCAAAUUUGAAAUCCUUCGGGAGUUGUAAUUUGUAGAGGGGUGUCUUUGGGGCGGCAUUGUCUAUGUUCCUUGGAACAGGACGUCACAGAGGGUGAGAAUCCCGUGCGAUGAUGCCUCAACCAGUACAAGACCCUCUCGACGAGUCGAGUUGUUUGGGAAUGCAGCUCUAAGUGGGUGGUAAAUUCCAUCUAAAGCUAAAUACUGGCGAGAGACCGAUAGCGAACAAGUACAGUGAUGGAAAGAUGAAAAGCACUUUGAAAAGAGAGUGAAACAGUACGUGAAAUUGUUGAAAGGGAAGGGUAGGAGGUGAGGGGAAGAGCUGCUUAGGCGCGGGAGAUAAACAAGCAGGAAGCGCUUCGGUGCGGCCUGGUAAAUAUCCCGUGCUUGUGUGGUUCUUCC
rnacentral:rRNA from 1 species